AGCAGUCGCCGCGGUAAUACGUAGGCCCCGAGCGUUGUCCGGAUUUAUUGGGCGUAAAGCGAGCGCAGGCGGUUAGAUAAGUCUGAAGUUAAAGGCUGUGGCUUAACCAUAGUACGCUUUGGAAACUGUUUAACUUGAGUGCAGAAGGGGAGAGUGGAAUUCCAUGUGUAGCGGUGAAAUGCGUAGAUAUAUGGAGGAACACCGGUGGCGAAAGCGGCUCUCUGGUCUGUAACUGACGCUGAGGCUCGAAAGCGUGGGGAGCAAACAGGAUUAGAUACCCGAGUAGUCCCUGUCUCUUAUACC
rnacentral:rRNA from 1 species